GACCAAACCAGGGUUCCUCGGACGGAACGCGGGCACAACCAGACCAGCACCACCUCGAGCUUCCCCAUCCGGCCAUCCCCCCCACCCCCUUCCUGCUACAACCGCUUCGUUUCCUCCUCCAACAAAUCCCUCCCCCAAAUCGAGCUCCGAUUCGGCGGCUCCUGCCGCAUCGCUCAUCAGUUCCACCCCGAAAUUCGCCGCCGGGCUGGCCCCGCCGAUGGAGUGACGAGUCAGGGUUUCGAAGCCGGCAAUGGAGGCGCAGUGGCUCGCCGAGUAUCCGCACCAGGGGUCCGACAAGCGGCCGCGCAAGCGGCCCCGGCUCGCAUGGGAUGUCGCGCCCACGCUGUUCCAGCCCCCCAAGGCAAUUCCGAUGCUAUAUUGUGGGCAGGAAUUAAUUAAUGGUAAUUUCACGACUGCAUUUCUUCCGCCGCCACCGAUUUAUUACACUGGCCCUCCACGGAAUCUUUCGCCUCCUUGGAGACCAGAUGACAAGGAUGGGCACUAUGUUUUUGUGGUUGGAGAGAAUCUCACACCAAGAUAUAGGAUACUUAGCAAGAUGGGUGAAGGGACAUUUGGGCAAGUUUUGGAAUGCUGGGACUUGGAAAACCAAGAAGCAGUGGCUAUCAAGAUUGUGCGGUCCCUCCAGAAAUACCGAGAGGCUGCUAUGAUAGAAAUUGAUGUGCUCCAGAGACUUGGGAAGAAUGACUUUACUGGGAGCCGUUGUGUGCAAAUACGGAAUUGGUUUGACUAUCGUAAUCAUAUAUGUAUAGUAUUUGAGAAGCUUGGGCCGAGCCUAUAUGAUUUUCUGCGAAAGAAUAGCUACCGUGCAUUUCCUAUUGACCUUGUCCGAGAAUUUGCCAGACAAAUAUUAGAGUCUGUUGCAUUUAUGCAUGACUUGCGACUUAUUCACACGGAUCUGAAGCCAGAGAACAUUCUUCUUGUUUCAUCAGAGUCUAUCAGGGUGCCUGAUUAUAAGGUUUCUAUACGACCACCAAAGGAUGGUUCUUUCUUCAAGAACCUUCCAAAAUCUAGUGCUAUCAAGCUGAUUGAUUUUGGGAGUACGACUUUCGAGAGCCAAGACCACAAUUAUGUGGUGUCGACAAGACAUUACCGAGCACCAGAAGUUAUUCUUGGUCUUGGGUGGAACUAUCCAUGUGACUUGUGGAGUGUGGGUUGCAUUUUAGUUGAGCUCUGUUCGGGCGAAGCUCUCUUUCAGACACAUGAAAAUUUGGAGCAUUUGGCUAUGAUGGAGAGGGUCUUAGGGCCCCUCCCGAAGCAUAUGAUUGUCAGAGCUGAUCGACGUGCUGAAAAAUACUUCAAGCGCGGAGUAAGGUUGGACUGGCCAGAGGGGGCGGCUUCACGAGAGAGCAUGAAGGCAGUCUGGAAGUUGCCUCGUCUGCAGAACCUUGUAAUGCAACAUGUUGAUCAUUCUGCUGGAGAUCUUAUUGAUCUUCUUCAAGGACUUCUUCGGUAUGAUCCUAAUGAGCGCCUUAAAGCACGUGAAGCUCUACGACACCCUUUCUUUACCAGAUGCAUCAGAAGAUGUGGUUUCUGAGGCUACUGACAUUGAAAAUGUCAAUGCUGUAUUUCUUCGUUUUGAUGUGUAAGAACUACAAAAAAAGUGGAGAUGUUCUACGAAAAAUGAAAUAUGCUAACUUGCAAUUCUGUUCAAUGAUUUGAAAGUACUAGCAGGUAGCAUGCAGAAAUCUCUAACCAGGUGGUGUCAUUUGAGGAUAAAUGGGAUUAAGUGUUUUCAUAGAAGACUGGAACACUAUAUUUAAUGAUGGCAUACGGUGAUCUCUGGUCAACAGACAAACGUGAAGCGUUGCCUGUACAUGAUGCAAUGGUGACUAAGGCUGAUCAGUGGACCCCGAGUUCCAGGAAUUCCAGUUGGCACCGUUCGGCCACGUGAUUCUGGAACCCAUUCGUCGGGCUAUCUGUCGUUGCACGAGCCUGGUUCGAAAGCAACAUUGCAAAAGCAGCGCCAAGUUUCCAGCGCGGUUGCGUCAUAUGCUGUUAUGAAUGUGUUGCUGCAUCACCGAAGGUAUGACUGAAGCUGCUGACUUCGUGGGAAAUAAAGGCGUAUCCCGCUUUCAUCACGUUAUGACUGCACAUUCUCCUGGUAUGACGUGUGUUUGACUGAACUACGAAGACCUGCUUUGGUCACGUUAUGAUUGCAUAGGAUGGCGUGUCUGCAAUUCGUUUGGUCAACAAAUAGCUGCUCUCCGUUUGCUGCCGUAAAUAGUACGUACUUGCUAA